CCCUGAAAGGAAGUGAAAGCAAAAGACGAGGCAUAAAAUCCUGCGCAGUCUGUGAAAACCUGCACAUACACUCCAUUCCCGUGGCCACAGGUGAGCUGAUACAGAACAAAAGAAAAAUGAACUUCUGCAAGUGUCACGUGUCACAUUGUCACAAUUGCGGUGGAAAACAACAAGAAGGCAUGAUGGUCCCAUAUAACACUCAAAUGCAAGUGUGCCAGCCAGGACCGUCCAACAUGAUGUCAGAAAUGUUCAGCGACCCCAAGGAGGAGGCAGAAAUUUCUGUUACGCAGAGUAAGUGGAUCAUUGUGCAGACUUCUUCUGGACUCCGGCGAGUCCGGGUCACCAAUAAAAUUCAUUACUCAUACUGAACUUCUGAAGAAACACCACGAGUGCUGAGUUCCAGCUUCACCUGCUGUGAUGUCAGAUCUCUCAGUUGUUUUUGACUUUUAAAGACCCAUUAAAGAGUGAAGGGAUUGUGUCUGUGUUAUUCCAUGGUGUCUGUGGGACCUCGUAUCAUUUACAUUAAGCAGUAAUUUACUGUCAUGCUACUUAAUAAUGUAUACAUGUUUCUUUAUUAAUAGGUUUUAUAGUAACUCUAAUCAGAAUCUUUCUGGUAAUGAAUUGGGCCCUUUUACUCAUUACACUUAAAUAAACAACAUUCCUGAAAAACAUCA